rnacentral:rRNA from 1 species
GACGAACGCUGGCGGCGUGCCUAAUACAUGCAAGUCGUGCGGACUUUGCGGGAGCUUGCUCCCAAGAAGUUAGCGGCGGACGGGUGAGUAACACGUGGGCAACCUGCCUGACAGACUGGGAUAACAUCCGGAAACGGAUGCUAAUACCGGAUAGGCAGCGAAGAGGCAUCCCUUUGCUGAGAAAGGCGCUACGGCGUCACUGUCAGCUGGGCCCGCGGCGCAUUAGCUAGUUGGUGAGGUAACGGCCCACCAAGGCGACGAUGCGUAGCCGACCUGAGAGGGUGACCGGCCACACUGGGACUGAGACACGGCCCAGACUCCUACGGGAGGCAGCAGUAGGGAAUCUUCCACAAUGGGCGAAAGCCUGAUGGAGCAACGCCGCGUGAGUGAUGAAGGCCUUCGGGUUGUAAAACUCUGUCUUCUGGGACGAACGAGCAGGAAAGGGAAAGUUCCUGUUGUGACGGUACCAGAGGAGGAAGCCACGGCUAACUACGUGCCAGCCGCCGCCGUAAAAC